rnacentral:snRNA from 1 species
AUGCUCACUUCGGCAGCACAUAUACUAAAACUGGAACGAUACAGAGAAGAUUAGCAUGGCCCCUGUGCAAGGAUGACACGCAAAUUUGUGAAGUGUUCCAUAUUUUU